rnacentral:rRNA from 1 species
GACAGAGGGUGCAAACGUUGCUCGGAAUUACUGGGCGUAAAGCGCGUGUAGGCGGACCAGCAAGUCGGACGUGAAAUCCCUGAGCUCAACUCAGGAACUGCAUCCGAAACUGCUGGUCUGGAGUGGUGGAGAGGGAAGCAGAAUUCCUGGUGUAGAGGUGAAAUUCGUAGAUAUCAGGAGGAACACCGGUGGCGAAGGCGGCUUCCUGGACACUUACUGACGCUGAGACGCGAAAGCGUGGGGAG